AUGAGCUUUGGGCUCUCCUCCAACCCAAGCCAUUCCAGGAUUCCAUGUGCUGGUUUGGAUGGGAUUUUGGGAAGAAAUUCCUGCCUGGGAGGGUGGGAGGGGCUGGCAUGGAAUUCCCAGAGCAGCUGGGGCUGCCCCUGCAUCCCUGGAAGUGCCCCAGGCCGGGCACCUCAAAUCGGCCCCAAAUUGUCCCCAGAGCAACCCUGGGACAGUGGGAGGUGUCCCUGCCAGGGCAGGGGUGGCACUGGAUGGGCUCUAAGCUCCUUCCAACCCAAACCAUUCCAUGAAUCCACAACUCCAUGAUCCACACCCCAGCGAGUCCCAGCAGAAUCCCCAAAGUUCACCCUCACUCCCAAAACAAUCCAGGAACCAUCCAAAGCCCCGAGGCUGGGGCAGCAGGAGCAGAGCCCAGGGCCAGGAAUCCCAGGAGAAAGGAGAAGCCAGGCAGGGGCAGGCUCGGAGGAGGAGGAGCCCAGGCAGGGGAGGAAGGCUCCUGGCGGGCUGGGGCAGCUCCUCCCGGCCGAUAAGGAGCACCUGGAGCUCCUUAUCCGAGCCCUCGGCACGCAGGGGCUCCAGAGCCAGACCUGCAGCCCGGCUGAUAAGGCAGCAGUGCCCAGCUGCGAGCUGGGCACCCAAACUGGGCUUUAUCUCCUGGAUCCAGGGGUUUCUAUUGCCAUUUUUGUCACUCUGCGAAUCUCCAGCCUCUCUAACAGCUGAGCCCCACCUGGCUCGGGGGGUUUAUCCUCCCCACCAGCAGCACGGGGCUGCCCUGGCAGCUGCCAAAACCCCAGAGCAGCGAAUUCAAAGUUAUUUUGUUUUAAAAAUAUAAAAUUGGUGUGCUCAGCAGCAGAUAUCAGUGGUUUUCUUGCCUGGCAUGGAAUUCCCAGAGGAGUCGUGGCUGCUCCAUCCCUGGAAGUGUCCAAGGCCAGCCUGGGGUGGUGGAACUCUGCCCAUGGAUGAUUUAAGGUCCCUCCCAGCCCAAACCAUUCCAUGAUUUUUAAUGUGGAAAGGAAAAGGUCCUGGUUUAUGGCAUUUUAUACAGGCUUUAGAGGAGGGGUCAGAGCAAAUAUAAAUGGUUGAUUUGAUUUUAAUCUUAUUUGCAGCACAGCCAGCUGGAAUUUUAUGUCCUCACUGCUUUUUUUUCUGGCAAGUUUGGGUGCCAGAUCCUCAUAGGAAAGACAGAUUCCAUGUGGGAAUCAAUUCCCCAUCCCAGGGACACAGACCAGCCCCUUCCCAGCACAUCCCAUCCUUCCUUAAAAACACCCAAAAUAAAAUUUAACCCCAAGUCUGGAGCUCUUUCCCAGCCCAUCCUGAGCUCCAAGGCAGUGCCAGCCUCAGGAGAUCCCUGGAGAAGGGUCCAGCCUGGAUUCCCCUGGGAAUGGAGAGCCCAGGGAGGUUCAUCUGCUUGGAAACCUGACGUGUCCCAGUUAUUUUGUUAUCUUUACAUUUGCAAACUCCAGGAAUAUAAACAAACAAUUCUGUUUUGUCUUCGGGGUGGCCUGACCCACUUUGGGAGCAGCAGCCCCUGGUUUGAAGCCUCCAUGAGGUGCUGCUGCCAGGAUCAGGGCUGGAAAAUCAUGGAAAACUGGAAUUCCUGCCCUGCCAUAGGCUCAGGGCAGGGAUUUAUGCACUUGGUGUGCUGGUGCUGGGAUCAGGGCUGGAAAAUCAUGGAAAACUGGAAUUCCUGCCCUGCCACAAGCUCAGGGCAGGGAUUCAUGGGGUUCUUUGCCCCCAAAAGUGCUGGAGCCCACCAGAGUGAAACAAUUGGAUGUUUGGAAUGCAGGCAGAGCAGGAUCCUUCCCAGCUUUAACCGCAUUCCCGAACUUUCUCCUUUUUGCCUGAGUCACCCAGGGAUCGGUUUCACCGCCGGGAUUUUGUGUAACGUCACCACAGCGUCACCAUGAAAGAAAUGAGAAAGAACCGAGCCCUGCUGGUGUCUCCAGGGGGUUUUUCCAGCCCCAAACCAUCCCAAGGUGGGAAGAGGCAGCGCUGGAGCUCCAGCAGAGCCCGGCAGGGAGCUCCAGCCCCCCGAGCUCCGGGGGUGACUCCCGGAAUUUCCCAAUUUCAGCGCUCACAGAACCUGACCCAAUUCCCCCUCCCCGAGCGGGUGCAGGCAGGGGCAGAGCCCGCCGUGUGUAAUUAAAGCUGCUUGGGGAUUAUUUCCUGCACCCGAGUGGUUGUUUUGGGUUUUGGUUUGUUGGGUUUUUUUUUUUCCCAACUCGCCUUUCUGGUUUGGAGCCCUGCGGGAACAAUGGGAGGGCGCAGCUGGAGGUGACUGGGGAGGGACUGGUGGCACCGGGCACAGGCUGGAGCUCCCGGAAUGAAGAGAAAAUGCUGGAAUGAGGACUCCGAUGCAUUCUGAGCCUUCUGCCACAGCACAAGCAGAGGAAAAACCCCUUGAAUCACCCCAAAGCCAGCACAGCUUCGGGAGCUUUGAAACAGGAACAUUUCAAGGAAUAAAUGCAGAAAAGCCAGGAGGAAAAUCCUGCUGGGAGAGGAUAAAAUCGAGAGCAGGCUCCUGGUAUUGAAGUGAUUUCAGCAUUUAUUGCAAGAAAAGCAAAGGCCUAAAGCAAGGAGCAGCAGCGUUCCUGCCGAGGAUGGAGCAGCGCCAGAGCUGGGUUUUCUUUUCAGCAGAGAUGUUCCAGGUGGAGCAGCACCAUUCAGGGGGUCAGGAGCUCCUUUUUAUCCCGGUUUGUCCCUUUGGGUUGGUUCCUGUUUGGAUCCUUCCUCUGCAUGAAGGUUUGAGGUGUUGGAUUGGCCCUGACAGCUCUGCCCAGGCUGUCCCGUGUCACCUGGGGGUGCUGCACUUCACUGAGCUGUCACUGAGAUAUUUUAUAAAAAAUCUCUUUGCCAGGAUUUCCUCCUGGGAAGCUGAGAAGCCUCAGGAAUGUGAACAAUGAUUAUCUGAUUGCUUGGAAUGUGGGCUGGAGGUUGUUACCAACAGGGGCAUCUUUGGUUCCAUGGGAAUUGUUUUUAAUUAAUGACCAAACCCAGUCCAGCUGUGUCAGGAUUCUGGUCAGUCACGAGUUUUUAUUAUUCAUUCUUGUCCAGCCUUCUGAUGUCUCCUCUCUUUCUUUAGUACAGUUUUAGCAUAGCAUUUCUUUUCAUAUAACAUCAUAAAAUAAUAAAUCAGCUUUCUGAGAA